rnacentral:rRNA from 1 species
CAUGCAAGUCGAGCGGGCAAUUUAUCUAGCACUGAUUACUUCAAAUGGAAAUCAUAAGUGUAAUCAUGGAUUUCUACCUUAUAAUAAGGAAAAAAAGAAAUUCAUGUACGCAAAUAGUGAUAACACAUUUUAGCGGAGUGAUGAGUGCUGGAUAAAUUGCUAGCGGCGGACGGGUGCGUAACACGUGGGUAACCUGCCCCUAUCACUGGGAUAACACACUGAAAAGUGUGCUAAUACCAGAUAAUAUAAGCUUUUGGCAUCAUUAGCUUAUCAAAGAAUUUCGGAUAGGGAUGGGCCCGCGUCUGAUUAGCUAGUUGGUGAGGUAACGGCUCACCAAGGCAACGAUCAGUAGCCGACCUGAGAGGGUGAUCGGCCACACUGGAACUGAGACACGGUCCAGACUCCUACGGGAGGCAGCAGUGGGGAAUAUUGCACAAUGGGCGAAAGCCUGAUGCAGCAACGCCGCGUGAGCGAUGAAGGCCUUCGGGUCGUAAAGCUCUGUCCUAUGGGAAGAUAAUGACGGUACCAUAGGAGGAAGCCCCGGCUAACUACGUGCCAGCAGCCGCGGUAAUACGUAGGGGGCAAGCGUUAUCCGGAAUUACUGGGCGUAAAGGGUGCGUAGGCGGUUUACCAAGUCACCCGUGAAAGGCUAGGGCUCAACCGUAGUGAGCCUCUGAAACUGGUGAACUUGAGUGUAGCGAAGGAAAGUGGAAUUCCCAGUGUAGCGGUGAAAUGCGUAGAUAUUGGGAGGAACACCAGUGGCGAAGGCGACUUUCUGGACUACAACUGACGCUGAGGCACGAAAGCGUGGGGAGCAAACAGGAUUAGAUACCCUGGUAGUCCACGCUGUAAA